CAUGGCUCAGAACGAACGCUGGCGGCAUGCCUAACACAUGCAAGUCGAACGAAGGCUUGCCUUAGUGGCGCACGGGUGAGUAACACGUGGGAACCUGCCUUUCGGUUCGGAAUAACGUCUGGAAACGGACGCUAACACCGGAUACGUCCUUCGGGAGAAAGUUUACGCCGAGAGAGGGGCCCGCGUCGGAUUAGGUAGUUGGUGUGGUAACGGCGCACCAAGCCGACGAUCCGUAGCUGGUCUGAGAGGAUGAUCAGCCACACUGGGACUGAGACACGGCCCAGACUCCUACGGGAGGCAGCAGUGGGGAAUAUUGGACAAUGGGCGCAAGCCUGAUCCAGCAAUGGCCGCGUGAGUGAUGAAGGCCUUAGGGUUGUAAAGCUCUUUCGCACGCGACGAUGAUGACGGUAGCGUGAGAAGAAGCCCCGGCUAACUUCGUGCCAGCAGCCGCGGUAAUACGAAGGGGGCUAGCGUUGUUCGGAAUUACUGGGCGUAAAGGGCGCGUAGGCGGCCUGUUUAGUCAGAAGUGAAAGCCCCGGGCUCAACCUGGGAAUAGCUUGAUACUGGCAGGCUUGAGUUCCGGAGAGGAUGGUGGAAUUCCCAGUGUAGAGGUGAAUUCGUAGAUAUUGGGAAGAACACCGGUGGCGAAGGCGGCCAUCUGGACGGACACUGACGCUGAGGCGCAAAGCGUGGGG
rnacentral:rRNA from 1 species